rnacentral:rRNA from 1 species
AUUGAACGCUGGCGGCAGGCCUAACACAUGCAAGUCGAACGAGUGGCGGCCGGGUGAGUAAUGUCUGGGAAACUGCCCGAUGGAGGGGUAUAAACACUGGAAACGGUAGCUAAUACCGCAUUCCAUCGGAGGUGCCCACAUGGGAAGAGCUAGUAGGUGGGGUAAUGGCUACCCUAGGAGACGAUCCCGCGCUGGUCGGAGAGGAUGACCAGCCACACUGGACUUGAGACACGGUCCAGACGCCUACGGUAGGCAGCAGUGGGGAAUAGUGCACAAUGGGCUCAAGCCUGAUGCAGCCAUGCCGGGUGUAUGAAGAAGGCCUUCGGGUUGUAAAGUACUUUCAGCGAGGAGGCGUUACUCGCAGAAGAAGCAGCGGCUAACUCCGUGCCAGCAGCCGCGGUAAUUC